rnacentral:miRNA from 1 species
ACCAUCGAGUGUUGAGUGUACC